GUGAAAGUCAAGGAGGUGAGGAGUUUUCUGCAGGCAAUGAAGAACAAGGGUGCCGCUCCAAGAGCUAAGAGUGCCUCCACAUGGAGAAAUGCAGCUCACAGGUUUUCCUCCACAUUACAUUUAAUGAAUGUGUACCACGUGCCCAGAGAUACAAGCAGGGG